rnacentral:rRNA from 1 species
UUGAUCAUCACGGGAACGGACAUGGCUGCAAUAUCUGAAUUUAAGGCGCAGAUGCAGCAUCUUUUCAAGAUGAGUGAUCUUGGCCCCCUCAGCUAUUAUCUGGGCAUUGAAGUAGUACAAGGGAAGGUGGAGAUUACACUUUGUCAGCAAGCGUAUGCCGGAAAGAUCCUUGAGCAGGCAGGAAUGAGCGACUGCAACAGUUGUCAUACUCCCAUGGAACGCAGACUCAAACUCAAGAAGAAUGAUGGUGCAAAGGCCGCUGAUGCUACUCUGUAUCGCAGCAUAAUUGGAAGUCUUCGGUACCUUGUACACACUCGUCCUGACAUUGCUCAUUCCGUGGGGAUUGUGAGUCGGUUUAUGGAGAAUCCGAGCUCAAACCAUUGGGCGGAAGUCAAGCAAAUCCUUCGCUACAUUCAAGGGACGAGGCAUUAUGGCUAUCGUUACACGAGUGGUGGGACUGCAGCUCUGCUCGGGUAUAGUGACAGUGACCACGCCGGCGACAUAAGCGACCGCAAGAGCACGUCAGGUCAGGUCUUCUUCCUUGGAGACAAUCCAGUUAGCUGGACUUCGCAGAAGCAGAAAAUUAUGGCAAUCAGCUCUUGUGAAGCGGAGUAUGUAGCAGCAGCGGCGGCAACCCAACAAGGGAUCUGGUUGAGCCGUCUCCUAGGCGAGAUGCAAGGCCAGGAAGCAACCAAGUUCAGACUGUUGGUGGACAGCAAGUCAGCCAUUGCACUAGCCAAAAAUCCAGUUCAUCAUGAUCGAAGUAAACGCAUUGAUGUGAAGUUCCACUUCAUCCGUGAUAGCAUGGAAACUGGGCAAGUGGAGGUUGAUUAUGUGCGGACACAAGAGCAGCUGGCUGAUGUUCUGACGAAAUCCCUUGGAAGGGUUCAGUUCACUGAGAUGCGUCGAAGGUUGGGCGUCGUAGAGAUCAUCAGUGGACGUCAAGCUUAG